GGAGGCAGCAGUGAGGAAUCUUGCUCAAUGGGCGAAAGCCUGAAGCAGCGACGCCGCGUGAAGGAUGAAGGUCUUCGGAUCGUAAACUUCUGUUAAGUGGGAAGAAAUCUCUAUUUAUAAUACAGAUAGAGGAUGACGGUACCAUUAGAGAAAGCACUGGCUAAUCUCGUGCCAGCAGCCGCGGUAAUACGAGGGGUGCAAGCGUUAUUCGGAAUUAUUGGGCGUAAAGGGUGCGUAGACGGCAUAUUAAGUCAACUGUUAAAUUCUUCGGCCUAACCGGGGUCCAGCGGUAGAAACUGAUAUGCUAGAGGAUGAGAGAGAGAAGUGGAAUUCUCGGAGUAGCGGUAAAAUGCGUAGAUCUCGAGAGGAACACCGAUGGCGAAGGCAGCUUCUUGGCUCAUUCCUGACGUUGAGGCACGAAAGCGUGGGGAGCAAACAGGAUUAGAUACCCUGGUAGUCCACGCCGUAAACGAU
rnacentral:rRNA from 1 species